AGAGUUUGAUCAUGGCUCAGGAUGAACGCUAGCUACAGGCUUAACACAUGCAAGUCGAGGGGAAACGACAUCGAAAGCUUGCUUUUGAUGGGCGUCGACCGGCGCACGGGUGAGUAACGCGUAUCCAACCUGCCCAUCACGUUGGGGAUAACCUUGCGAAAGUAAGACUAAUACCCAAUGACGUCUCUAGAAGACAUCUGAAAGAGAUUAAAGAUUUAUCGGUGAUGGAUGGGGAUGCGUCUGAUUAGCUUGUUGGCGGGGUAACGGCCACCAAGGCGACGAUCAGUAGGGGUUCUGAGAGGAGGUCCCCCANAUUGGAACUGAGACACGGUCCAAACUCCUACGGGAGGCA
rnacentral:rRNA from 1 species